AGGGGGCGGGCACUCAGUCCACAUGGAGGGGGCCGGCACUCCGCCCACAUGGAGGGGGCGGAUACUCAUGCUGCGUUCGAGUAUUCUCUGCGAACCGACUCGGAUCUCGGAUCUGACGCCACGCCCGUCCACAUCGAGGGGGCGGCCACUCAGUUCACAUUGAGGACUGGUCAAACAGCAUGUGCAGCAUCUGAUCCCGUUUCUGACCUGAAAUUAGCUGAAAUGUACCUGAAAUUACCUGAAAUUAGAGUGUGCCCGCCCGAGCUAGUGAUGCCUAAAACAUGCAAAGACACGUCAGUGUAAUUGUGAAUGGCGAGAGCCCUGAAAUACAGCUGGACAGCAGCGGUCUACAUCACUGCCCCUUCUGCAGAUACAAAGGGUCAAAAUGUGAUAUCGACCAUCACAUUAAAUGCCAUGCCUCGGUUAAAUACAGAGGUCUGCAGAGGAGCUUUCAGGAAGCAGGAAGAGAAGACGGGAGGAAAAAAAAGCUACAGGAUAAAGAUCUCUGCACAAAAAGGGCUAGAGUUGCUCCAACAGCAUCCAGCUCUGAAGGAUCAGGUCAUGUAUAGACUGUUAAUCCAGACAAAACUGAAGACCAGAAACUGGAACCUGGGAACCUGGAAGAUUAUGUUGUCCUGAAGGACACAAUUCAGGCAGCAGCAUGGUGCCAGUUACAGUCCUUCAAGGACAGCGUUUCUCUCCCAGAGGUCAUUGGGAUGGAAGGUUGGGAGCAGAUGGCAGCUUCAACACAGCGCAAAUCCCAUGACGGCGGGGAUGAGGAAGAAACGUGGAAACCAUUCCAAUUCUCAUUCAGAUUACAUACUGACUAUGAACUGUUCUGUGUGGAGAGGAUGGACAGGAGAAACCUGAAGGUGUUUGCCUCUUUUGAGUCAAACACCUCUCCCCCUCCCCGUCCCCCCUCCCCGUGACGCCUGCGCCACACGACUCCAAUGUAGUCUGAUGAUGCAGCAUAAUGGCGGCGCUUGGCAGCUAUGGCGGCGGUGACGGCGAUGUCGGGCGACAGAGCGUGAAGCAAGAGUUGCAUCCACCUCACUGAGGAAGGCGUCAGUGUGUUCCCCUUUUGUUGUUUGACUUUGUUUGUUCUACUCUUUAUUGAUUUAUCUUUUAUGUUUAUAGUUUACAAUCAAUUUUUUGUAGUUGUUAUUUUUUAAUUGUUUUGUUGAAUAAAAAGACAGUUGUUAUUGCUCCUGUGAUUGGUGUAACUUAAUGUGCUUCACACAUGUAGCUUUUCAUUAUGUCUAUUGAGGUACAUUUUUUGCCCUUAGAUGUGGUCACUUCGUUAUUCCUCACAUUACAUCUGUUAAGGUCAUACCUUUGGGUCCCAGUCUUCAUAGUUCCCCAAAUCUUAUUUUGGCUCUUACUGGGCCUGUUACUCACGGGUACAGGAGUUCGGACACGUUGCAUUGUUUACAGGCAAGGGUGGAUUACCGCACGGGCACACCGGGCACAUGCCCAGGGGCCCAAGGGCGGCCCUAAACCAGAGCUUCUGUGUGAAGUCGCUGUUAGUAACUUUUAAUGUUGCAUUGUCAAAGCAAUCAGUAGAGAAAUACAAAAAUUCAAGCGAAAACGGCAAUAGUAGGGCUAUUAAUACUGAGUAAAAAAAAAAAAA